rnacentral:rRNA from 1 species
AUUGAACGCUGGCGGCAUGCUUUACACAUGCAAGUCGAACGGUAACAGGGAGCUUGCUCCGCUGACGAGUGGCGAACGGGUGAGUAAUAUAUCGGAACGUGCCCAAGAGUGGGGGAUAACGUAGCGAAAGUUACGCUAACACCGCAUACGAUCCAAGGAUGAAAGCAGGGGACCUUCGGGCCUUGUGAUCCUGGAGCGGCCGAUAUCUGAUUAGCUAGUUGGUGAGGUAAAGGCUCACCAAGGCGACGAUCAGUAGCUGGUCUGAGAGGACGACCAGCCACACUGGAACUGAGACACGGUCCAGACUCCUACGGGAGGCAGCAGUGGGGAAUUUUGGACAACGGGGGCAACCCUGAUCCAGCAAUGCCGCGUGAGUGAAGAAGGCCUUCGGGUUGUAAAGCUCUUUUGUCAGGGAAGAAAAGGGUACGGCUAAUAUCCGUGCCUCAUGACGGUACCCGAAGAAUAAGCACCGGCUAACUACGUGCCAGCCGCCGCAGUAA